AGGAAAAGAAACUAACUAGGAUUCCCUUAGUAACGGCGAGUGAACCGGGAUGAGCUCAAAUUUGAAAUCUGGCGUCUUUCAGGCGUCCGAGUUGUAAUCUAUAGAGGCGUUUUCCGCGCCGGACCGCGUCCAAGUCUCUUGGAAUAGAGUAUCAAAGAGGGUGACAAUCCCGUACUUGACGCGACAACCGGUGCUCUGUGAUACGUUCUCAAUGAGUCGAGUUGUUUGGGAAUGCAGCUCUAAAUGGGUGGUAAAUUCCAUCUAAGGCUAAAUAUUGGCGAGAGACCGAUAGCGAACAAGUACCGUGAGGGAAAGAUGAAAAGCACUUUGGAAAGAGAGUUAAACAGCACGUGAAAUUGUUAAAAGGGAAACGAUUGAAGUCAGUCGUGUGAGGGGUAUUCAGCCGUCUCUGGCGGUGUAUUUGCCUCUCACGGGUCAACAUCAGUUUGAUCCGGUAGAAAAAGGCGGGAGGAAGGUGGCACCCUCGGGUGUGUUAUAGCCUCCUGUCAUAUGUGCCGGACCAGACUGAGGAACGCAGCUUGCAGCAAUGCCGGGAUUCGUCCACGUACAAGCUA
rnacentral:rRNA from 1 species